AAUCCCAAACCCUAAAGCCUAAAGAGCUUUGUCGUUCUAGAGAUAAUGGUUGAUUUCUUUUAUUUUUCAAUUGUGGAAAAUUUUUGGCGGUUGUUAGAAAAUUUAGGCGGGAACAUUUUUUCCGGGAAUUUUUAGAAAGAAAACCGUAAACCGUAAACCCUAAUUCCUAAACCCAAACCCUAAACCCUAAAUCCCAAACCCUAAACCCUAAAGAGCUUUGCUAUUUGAUGGUUGAUAGCUUGCUUGAGCUAGCGUCCAUCCUCCACCACCGUGAUUGAUGUUCUCUUCGCCUGAUCGAAGGAAUAGUUGCGAGGUUUCUUUUUGCUAGGUCGAGAAGAAGAAGCUAUUGGAUCUCUAGUUGUGGCGGAUCUACCUUUUCCAAAAGGAGAGUUCCGGGUUAGUAUGAUCUCAGUGAUGGUUUGCGGUGGGGUGGGGUUCGCGAGCUCCAACCUAAGUAUUGAUGGCAUGUCUUAGUAGGUGGUUUAUUUAUUGGAAGCAAAACCCUAAACCCUAAACCCUAAACCCUAAACCUUAAACCCUAAACCCUAAAGAGCUUUGUCGUUCUAGUGCGAUUUGUUGAUUUCUCUUUGUUUUUAAUUAUAUGUCAAUUUUUGUGUCAAACUUUCUUGUACUAUUUCUGUCAAAAAAAAUUGGUGGGAAAUUAUUUCUUGGAAUUUUUUUUGGCGAGAAACUUUUUGUCGGAAAAUUUUGAAGGGAAAAUUUUUUAGUGGAAUUUUUUUGGAAGGAAAACCGUAAACCGUAAACCCUAAACCCUAAACCC
rnacentral:lncRNA from 1 species